rnacentral:rRNA from 1 species
ACGGGAGGCAGCAGUGAGGAAUAUUGGUCAAUGGGCGGGAGCCUGAACCAGCCAAGUAGCGUGAAGGAUGACUGCCCUAUGGGUUGUAAACUUCUUUUGUAUGGGAAUAAAGUCACCUACGUGUAGGUGUUUGUAUGUACCAUACGAAUAAGCAUCGGCUAAUUCCGUGCCAGCAGCCGCGGUAAUACGGAAGAUGCGAGCGUUAUCCGGAUUUAUUGGGUUUAAAGGGAGCGUAGGCGGUCUGUUAAGUCAGCGGUUAAAUGUCAGUGCCCAACAUUGGCAUGCCGUUGAUACUGGCGGACUUGAAUACACACAAGGAAGGUGGAAUUCGUCGUGUAGCGGUGAAAUGCUUAGAUAUGACGAAGAACUCCGAUUGCGAAGGCAGCCUUCUGGGGUGCGAUUGACGCUGAGGCUCGAAAGCGCGGGUAUCAAACAGGAUUAGAUACCCUGGUA